rnacentral:rRNA from 1 species
AGAGUUUGAUCCUGGCUCAGGAUGAACGCUAGCUACAGGCUUAACACAUGCAAGUCGAGGGGCAGCAUGGUCUUAGCUUGCUAAGGCCGAUGGCGACCGGCGCACGGGUGAGUAACGCGUAUCCAACCUGCCUUACACUCUUGGACAGCCUUCUGAAAGGGAGAUUAAUACAAGAUGUUAUCAUGAGUAAGCAUUUUCACAUGAUUAAAGGUUUACCGGUGUAAGAUGGGGAUGCGUUCCAUUAGAUAGUAGGCGGGGUAACGGCCCACCUAGUCUUCGAUGGAUAGGGGUUCUGAGAGGAAGGUCCCCCACAUUGGAACUGAGACACGGUCCAAACUCCUACGGGAGGCAGCAGUGAGGAAUAUUGGUCAAUGGACGAGAGUCUGAACCAGCCAAGUAGCGUGAAGGAUGAAGGUUCUAUGGAUU